GAGCAAGAUUCCCGUUUCCCUCUUCAGGCGAAGUGGUGUUUUCGAUGGAAAAAACGGUAUGGUGACGGAAAACAAAGAAUACAAAGAGUCACCUCCAUCAAGCAGCACGGUGGCAGCAACCCCCUGUUCAAAUAUCGUCAAAGUUCGUGGCAAGUGUUGGCAGUAGUGCACCGGAUGAGGAACCACCACCUCCAGGAACAGAAGAUACGGCAUCGGUCCAAACGACGUCGCUGAAUACCCUGGGGUCACCAACAGUGAUGCCAUUGACGAUGAACAUGAAGAGGGGGAAUCGAAAGCGACGACGAUGAAGAGGAAGGACGGUUGGAGUACGAGGACAUUAGUUCCAGAGAAAAGACCAACAUUGAAGCCAUGGAUGAUGAGUUGGGAAAGAUCCAUCAGAUUACCGGUGCCAGCAGCGAUGACCAGGGACAUUGCGGUGAGUGCUGUUAUCAAACAUCAUCCUCAUAACCGACAGUAGUGCAGCAAAGGAUAAACAGUUUCCUGUCCCGAACGGGUCUUCAGCGUGGAAAACAUGAGAUAUGCACUCGGGGUAAUUUAUCACGGUCAUGAUCCUGCUCACUCUCCUCAACCGAACAUUGUUGAGCAAUCAUGCAUAAUUCACCUACAGUAUCAGAAAGCCGUGACAAUUUGAAAUACCUCGCAACAACGCAAAGGACGACCCAGAUUUUAUAGCAUUGAACAGAAAUAGUUACUUGCCAACAUGCACGUAGAGAUGUACAUUAGUUAGAGUGCAACCAAACAUGCCUGGGGGAUGAGUCAAAGAUUUUCGAUGUUCCCGCAUGGACGAUACCGGCAGGGAGCCAUAAAUUAUUAAUAUGACAAAAACAGCGACUUGAGAUAUACGGAGAGUUAGAUAACUUUGCCUCAUCCACGCCUCAUUGCUGUUCAUUUAUUUGCGAUGGGCAACCGACCGAUGACAACAACGGCCAUGUCACCACGGCUGCUACUUUGGUACGUGGCAGGCCAAAGUCGGAAAAUGUCACCCCACUAAUCGACGGAAUAGACGUAGAGAAGCUGCGAUGGGACUACCGCCGUCUUGUGUUGGUCAAGUGAGCGAAACAUCAACAUUUGUUGUCGGUUGUCUUUGGCAUCGCAUCCCCUGACCCUGAGAGACUGUGCGAGUGAACAUUUAGGCAUAUUCCUAAUUGAGAGUACCAGUUUGAAGGACCAGAUGAUGAUACACUGAGAUUGCAGAUCCAUUUGCCAGUUUGUGGUCUUUUUGAGGUCGCAAAACGUUAGUUUGUGAUGGCUUUUCUGUAUGAUGAACAGUGCCGAUAGGCGGGUUGUGAACCAGCUGCAUGUUACUGAUUUCGACGUUACAUAGAAACAACUGAAGAUUCCGUCUCGAAGAUAUUAC